GGCACUUGGUCAUGUGACACAGUUCCCACCAAUGAGACGGGAGCAGGCAUUCCGCAGGGCGUUCUGGGAAAGCUCCCAGAAGGGCGGGCGGCUGGCCUCAUGUGGCUCACCCUCUGUCCAUCCUGAAAGGGAACCUGACGCCAGAGGAGCUGCACUGUGACCGCAGAGCAGGCCUCACCGAGGACGCCGAGGGAGGUGGAGGAGGAGGCUGGGCCCACGGGCAUCUUGGAGCUGCUGGGCCUGCACCGGCCCCGCCAGACACCUCAUUGGGUAUAUUCCAGACAAGAAGGUCAACUCCAAGAAAGGAGAUCCAUUAACCAGUGCUAAGCUGCCAGUCGUUAGAGGAGGGAGCUCUAGACGGAGACGAGAAGAGGAUGAAAACUCCCAGUGGGCUGCUCGAUCAAGAACCAGGAGUAAUGGGACAGGAGGAGCUGGGCCAGCGGCGUGCUGGGGCCGGUUCAGACCAGCUCACAGAGCGGAUGGUUAUAUUUUAAGGAAUUGUGUCAGCCAGUUGUUAAACACGGCCACAAUUAAAAAUUAAAUUAUAUAAUCUUACGGCUAAAUAAGUUACGUUAAAAACACGGGCAAUAAACACUCAAAGCGCCUCAAUUUUUAAUUACUUUAUAAUAUUUUACUAUUGUGCAUGCUUUUGAGAUUAUUUACUCGUAUCGUGUCAGUAUGAUGGAAAUCCUAUAUAAUGGAGUGUUAAUCUGCAUCUCUUCCAAACUUUGUGUUUAAUGACAUGCCAUUGGUAGUUUGAAAUUGACCACGGUGGGAGGAUUUACACCACGGAGAUUGGCAAAGACCAUAAAGUGGGGUCAGUUCCGGAGACAGGAAUCAUAAAAGUAAUUUGAACAGGGAAAAUUUACUAUAAAGAAUUACUAACUAGUAAAAGAUGCUUAACUACUAAAAGAAGUAGAGUAGAAGUUAAAGAAAAGACAAAUACGAAAUGAAGGCGUAGCUGCUUCCGCCUUGAAAGCUGAGGAAGCGUGCGUGAGGAAGCAGCUAUUUUGGAAGAGGGCCCCUGUCCAAGGCCAAGAUUCAGGCAUUGUUGGACAUGGUAUGCCUGGGGUCAGGUGGGUAAAGGAGAAGUUCGCUGAGGCACCAUGGGCUGACAAUGGCCCACAAUCUGUGCGCCAAAGCUAGUAAGCAAGAAGCUCCCCUCUGGGUGAUCACAAACUCACCAUAAGGGGAGAGGCACUGGGCCACUUUGAUGCCACCGGAAGUCAUGCCAUAGAAGCAAGAAGAAAAGAAAAAC
rnacentral:lncRNA from 1 species